GUAGGGUCCGAGCGUUAUCCGGAAUCAUUGGGCGUAAAGAGCUCGUAGGCGGUUCAGCAAGUCGGCUGUGAAAGUUCGAGGCUCAACCUCGAAAUUGCAGUCGAUACUGCUGUGACUUGAGUCCGGUAGAGGAGAAUGGAAUUCCCGGUGUAGCGGUGAAAUGCGCAGAUAUCGGGAGGAACACCAGUAGCGAAGGCGGUUCUCUGGGCCGGCACUGACGCUGAGGAGCGAAAGCGUGGGGGGAGCAAACAGGAUUAGAUACCCUGGUAGUCCACGCCCGUAAACGUUGGAUACUAGGUGUGGCGUCCCGAUUAACGGUCGCCGUGCCGAAGCUAACGCAUUAAGUAUCCCCGCCUGGGAGUACGGCCGCAAGGCUA
rnacentral:rRNA from 1 species